GGCUUGGUUGUGUGGAUUGCUGUGAGUAGGGGAUGCAAUGUGGAGGAAGUCAGGAGGACUCAAGAGAAGCCAUCUGGGCCCAGGGUCAGACACAGUCCUUCUCCUUUGGGUGUCCCAUGUCGCAAGGGACAGGAACAUACUUGGCUGGACACCUAGGCUGGGUAGCCAUUGUGGAGCACUAAUCAGUUAUCUCAUUUGCCUACUCCCCCUCCAUGUCAAGACUGGGUAGCCAUUGUGGAGCAUUAAUCAGUUAUCUCAUUUGCCUACUUCCCCUCCCUGUCAAGUCAGGGCCCUCUCUGCUUGCCCUGGAUGUCGCCUCAGCAGCCAUCACAUGAGUAGGGGCAUGAGGAGGGGCGUGCCAGGAUCCAGCCAGACACUGCCCAUCUGUCCUCACGUGCUCAUGGCCAUGUUUGCCUUCCUGUUCUCCAUGGUGAUUGCCUUAUGGCUCUGGUUCUGUCUCCUUCGGAGGGUGAAUGGGGCUAGGGGAAGGCACAGACUCCGGCUGCUUCCUGUGGAUACUCUUACGCUGCAUGGGUUGCAAAUGACCCUUGAUGGCAUUUUCAGAAGCCUUGGGUUUGGGGGUGGUUUUCAAGCACACAUAUUUUGGACUGCUUAGUAAGAGUAAGUGAAGGGCAGGGCCCAGAGCUGCACUCUGAACUCGGUUUAUCUGUUGUAUGUACAUGAUGGCAUGUUUUGGGUGUCCACAGAUGUGAUAGCUGUGUUUUGAGUUCCCCACUUGUGUACCCAUGCGCUGUGUCUUUGUCUACUGGAGAGACUGUGCUAUUCUUACUAUAAGUGGACACCUUUGUGGUUCCCCCCACCCGUGAUGCAUGUGUGCCUGCGUGUACAUGUUGGUGUGUUGGGUUGUAGAGUGGGGUCCAGCUCCUCUGGGAGCAGCCUGGCAGGGGACCAAUGGGUGGGAUAAAUUCCAUUUGGAAAAUGGUUUCUGCGGUUACAGACUCCGAUGAGUUUCUGAGGAUGCUUUUGUUCUUGGUCUCAAGGGUGGGCUUCUGGGGUGGACAGGCUGGCAAGUCCCUCAGGGAGGCAGCAGGACCCUGAGACAGAGGUCUUUCCUCCCACCUUCUGUCUCUCUCCUCCUCACUUCCUUCUCAUCUUCCUGUAGCACUCACCAAGUCAGGGGCUGGACCUCUGAACCUCACAUGCCCACGCCUCAGAGGAUGUGAGGUCUCAGUGGAUUGGAGAGGCUGAGCUCCAUCAUCACAGAGGGAGAGGACAUGGCCCAAAGGGGAAAUGGCCGGCUGAGGUUACACAGUUGGUGCCUCAGACAAGGCGUGUGGCCUUGUCUCACUGGACUGACUCUUUACUUUCCCUUCUUAGGUUCCUUAAUCCAGAGCGCUGCAGUAGGGCAGUAGCCUCCUAUGGUUUUAUGGGUCCUGAGAUUAUCACAGAGCAGCUGUGGGAGGAGGGAACUUAGGCUCUCAGAGCCCAGGGCUGGGGAGUCACCGAGGAGGUCACAUCAGUCUCAGGGAGGUGAGCAACAGGCCGUUCCAGCACAGCUAAGCCCAAUACCCAGCCCUGGGCACUAACAGGGCUUGGUUUGUAGGGAGAAAGAGGAGUGUGGAGUACAGGCCUGUUUUGGAGCCGAAGUGGGUAUGGAAGUGUCAGGCCAGCAAGGAAAGUGCCCAAGCUGGCCUCUGGGUAAGUCUGGGAAGGCCUGAUGGCAGAGAGGACAAGAAUCAAGUCGGCUCGUCUGGCACGCGGUGUAGGGGGUGAGCAUUCACGAAGGGUUCAUGCCUGCUAGCAUGUCCAUAGGCAUGUCCCCUGCCGUCACUCCGCCCUCAGCAUGUCCAUAGACAUGUCCCCUGCUGUCCCUCUGCCCUCAGCCCUGCUGGGCCUCCAGGAUAACACUCUCUAGGUGUUUAUGCCCACUAUUUUGCAUACCCACCAGCUACCUAGAAGUGAAUAGUUAGGUCCUGUCCUCACUAGAGGGCCCAGGAAAGGCAGGGAGUCUGGCAGGGAGCUGAGAGUUAUCGGGGCUUAGGUAGAGGUGUUCCCUCUAGAAACCAACCUUGCAGGGUGGGAGCACAAGACAAACUGGGUAUGAAGGCAGGGACUGGGGUGUGUGUGUGUGUGUGUGUGUGUGUGUGUGUGUGAGAGAGAGAGACAGAGACAGAGACAGAGACAGAGACAGACAGACAGAGGGAGAAGAGGAAGAGGAGGACUCUUGUGGAAUUCUCUCUCCAGUAACCAUCUCUGUGUGUGCAAAGUGGGUGUGGAUCUGUGUGAGAGGAGCUGAAGGUGACACCAUGUGGAACAGGAAUUGAUGGGAACCAUGCCUUCCCUUGUCUCAGACCUGGCUUAGAGUACCCCUGAGAACACAGGGGCCAUGACAGCAGACUGAGUCAUCUGGGAAUUCCCUUGAGGAGCCAUUAGGUAGAAUGGGAAGGAGAAGGAAGUGAUCUGGUCCCUCUCCCAGGCAAUGACAUCAGAGGCGUAGCCGCUGGCUGCCAGGAACAUCAGAUUGGGAUGUUACCAUGAGCAAGUGAGAGAGUGAAUGAGCAAGUGUGAGUGGACGGGAGGCUCAGCUGAGAGAUGAACUUGCCUGUGGGGUGACCGUUUGGCCUAUCUUCAGCCAUUCUUCUUCCCCUCCCACAUCAUCCUGGACCCUGCGGCAGGCAGCUUCAGAACACGCCAUAUGCAUUGUCAGGGGUGUGUGUGUGUGUGUGUGUGUGUGUGUGUGUGUGUGUGUGUGUGUGUGAGUGUGUGUGAGUGUGUGUGAGUGUGUGUGUGUGAGUGUGUGUGUGUGUGUGUGUGUGUGUGUGUGUGUUAAUGGGGUACUAGCAGGGAUCCACAUGCUGGGCCAUAACAGCAAGAGUGUACAGGACUGAGAGCUCUGAGAUAGACUCAGGGAGGGCAGAAGGCAGGAGACAAGCUGUUGGCUGGCUUUUUGCUGGCUUGUUGUGUGGUCUGAGUUCAGAGCUCAGCCACGGAACCUUGACAAGUCAUUAGUUUUCAGGGUUCUCAAAUCUGUGAGCCAGGGCCAUCAAUACCCUAUUACCUACUGCCGCACGACGAAGCACCCCAAUCCUCUCAGCCUGAAACUGCAGGCAUUGAGCCAAGGCUCCGUUGGGAGAGGCUGGAACCACACAGCCUCAUCCGAAGGCUUACCUGGAGGGGAGCCAUUGCCAAGACUACUCACCGUUCCUGGCAAUCCUCGGCCCUCCCCUCGUCUCCCUACGGGCAUGGUAGCUGGCCUCCUCAGAGAGGACAGAGCAACAAUCAAGAAGGAAGUGACAGUCCGACGAAGGGGCCACACAAAACAAGAAGGCCCGGCGGCAGAUGGUCCUCUUGGGCGAAACCAACAGAGGUGCUCCUCACAGACACCCACUCACAGGGUUUGGGAAGGUGAGACAGGCAGGUGGACAGAGCGUGCAAGGACUGGUACAGGAGAAAGAGCCCCGAUGGAUUUACUUGCUUCUGCUCUCUUGCCAGCACGUGUGGAGCUGAUGAAGCGUCUUGGGCUGGUAGAGUGGUAGUUGAGUUUCUUGGGUGAGAUCUUGGCCUCUGGCAGGAAAGGGCGUGUUUCCCUUCAUUUUCCACUGGCCACCAGUGAGGGAGAGGCAGAGCGGGUGCCCAGAUGGGAGAGCCACACACUGGCUGUCCUCUUCAGCGUCUUACUUGAGCACCUAUUCUGUGCUCAGAGCUGAGUACCGGAAAAUAGCCGUGAGCAUGAUUGGCACCCCCGUGCCCCCGGAGUCUCCCAGUCCAUCAAGGACAAGGAAGAUGCACAGAACCUUGCUGCUCUUCCCAACCAAGAAAUGGUUCUGCAGAAGGCAGUCAACUGAGGGGCUUUGAUCAGCCUAUGCAAAAGAAACACUGGAUGCAGAAUUGCUGAGAGAAAGCACUGUGUGACAUGGGUCGUGGAUGACCCAGGGUUUCAAAGUCCUGUGUGGUGAGGAACACUCAGCAUGGGGAUAAAUGGGUCCCCAGAAACCCAUAGGAGGGCCCCAAAGAGACUUCUGAAAGACCUUAAAGUCUGCAGGAUGAGUAAGAAAUGGGUGGGCCCACUCCUGGAGGCGAGGCAGUUAGGGACAAAAUCUUCAAGGAAGCCACUGUCCUUCUUUCCAGAGGGACAGUCACCUCUGUCACCCUGGUGUCCUGCUUCCUGGCUCCUUUCUCUGACAGAGGAAGCCCCAUUCAGAGAAUGCAUGCAAUCCUGUCUGAGCAGGGGCCACCGUGCGCUGCAGCCUGAGGCGAGAGCUGUAUCUGGGAGAAAGUAAGGCCGUGGAAUUUGGCCUUUGCAGAUAAAAUAAACGGACACUUCUUAC
rnacentral:sRNA from 1 species